CAGGGAGACAACAAAAUGUUUAAUAUUAUUAUUUUGUCACCUUAGGUCGAUCGGUAUCUCACGUUUUUAAUUUAUUAAGAAUUUCAUUUCCUAAGUUUUUCUAGGUCACACCCAUUAUUUUUCCUGGGCCAUUAGCUCAGGUGGUUAGAGCGCACCCCUGAUAAGGGUGAGGUCCCUGGUUCAAGUCCAGGAUGGCCCAUAUCUCUAUGUUGGGGGUAUAGCUCAGUUGGUAGAGCGCCUGCUUUGCAAGCAGGAUGUCAGCGGUUCGAGUCCGCUUACCUCCACUGAUUACCACCUCUUCCAUAAUCCGGUAGAAAGGAAAUGUUUUGAGUUGUGAUCAAAUCCUGAAAGAAUCUAGCUUCCUAAUGAAAUCAUUAAGAUGCUGGACUCAUUGAAUUAAUUUCAUUGUUUUCAGAGAACCUUGACAACUGCAUAGAUUAUUUUUAAAGACAAUAAGCAUCUUUAAUGAUGCAGAUUUAUUAUUUGUGCGAAUGCAUUAAUAACAAUUCUAUUAAGCUGAUGCUUCAAUUUUUGAAGUUAUU
rnacentral:tRNA from 1 species